GACGAACGCUGGCGGCGUGCUUAACACAUGCAAGUCGAACGCGUGGCGCACGGGUGUGUAAUACGUCGGUAACAUGCCCUCUUUUUGGGAUAAGCCUUGGAAAAGGGGUCUAAUACCGAAUACGGGGGAUGGGGUCGCGGCCUAUCUGCUUGUUGGUGGGGUGAUGGCCUUCCAAGGCGGUCACGGGUAGCCGGCCUGAGAGGGUGACCGGCAACAUUGGGACGGAGAUACUGCCCAGAGUACUACGGGAGGCAGCAGUGGGGGAUAUUGCACAAUGGGCGAAAGCCUGAUGCAGCGACGCCGCGUGGGGGAUGAAGGCUUUCGGGUUGUAAACCUGUGUCGCGAGCGAACGGGUAGGUGGAGAAGAAGCGCCGGCUAACUACGUGCCAGCCGCCGCGGUAAUAC
rnacentral:rRNA from 1 species